AGGAAGUUGGGUCAAACCAAUCAGUAGUCAGGUUUGGAUAUUGGCACCUGGAGUGACCACUGAAAGUAUGGACACGCCUCUGAGAACACAGGGGGUUAAAAGCAAGAACUCCCAGGAGAACUGUCUCUUUUGGUUCCGGUCGUCAGAGAGUGCAGACUCCCCCCCUGCCCAGCCAUGGGCUGGGUGGGGGAGGGGAAGCCACGCGGCCUUGUCCAGUUAUCCUUUAAGCACCCAGUUUGCCUUUAGUGAGAGUGGGAAGCAGCACAGCCAUUGACUUGUUGCUUGGGAAACUCAUCCAAGAGUUGUCAUCAUCAAAUGAACAUGUCAGCAAGGUGCUCUGGCAGGCACUACCCAAAAAUAACUGAGGAUUGCAGCAGACCCACAGCACACAUCUGAAAUUCACGCCUCUGCUUCUUCUCAGCCAUGGGAUCCUCUUGGCUGACCUCCCCCUGCCCCAGGGCACACAGGAGCUGCCCAGUGACCAUCAAUCAGCCCCUUCUGCCUGGAGCUGCAGACCACAAGGUGCUGCAGCCGUGCUGGCAGGAGCACGGGGCUGCUCUGACAAGAAAGCACAGAGGAAUCUCUUUAUCUACUGAUAUCAGCAACCAGCUCUGCUGCAGCCUGACAAAGAGGCUGGGAGGUGAGGCUGGCUCCAGGCACAUCCAGCCAAACAGCAGGAAUGAGCAGGAAGGUAUUUCACAAGGAGACACUGUUGUUGCAAUGUUCACCCUGAUGAUUGCAAGGCCAAGAGAGGUUUCCCUGCAAGUUGUUUUGGGUGCUGGGGUUCUCAGAGCUGCCAGGGAGCUGCUGCAGCAACAAAAUAUCAAUGCAUAUGGAUAAACCUUGGGAUGAAUAAUAGAAUCAUGGAGUGGUUUUGGUGGGAAGUGACCUGAAAGCUCAUCUCAUUCCACCCCUGCCAUGGGCAGGGACACCUCCCACUACCUCAGGGUGCUCCAAGCCCUGUCCAGCACCUAAAGGGAUGAUGCUCAACUCCUCUCUGCUCCUGCUCACUAUGGGUGUAAGACAAGGUUUUUUCUUUAAUGGGACUGUUGCUUCCUUUCCAUCAUCUCCAGCCAAGUUAAACUAAUUAAACUGAAUGCAGAUUAUA